UACGUAGGUGGCAAGCGUUGUCCGGAUUUCUGGGCGUAAAGAGCGCGCAGGCGGUCGUUCAAGUCGCGUGUGAAAGCCCCCGGCUCAACUGGGGAGGGUCACGCGAUACUGAUCGACUCGAAGGCAGGAGAGGGUAGUGGAAUUCCCGGUGUAGUGGUGAAAUGCGUAGAGAUCAGGAAGAACAUCGGUGGCGAAGGCGCUCUGCUGGACCAUAACUGACACUCAGGGACGAAAGCUAGGGGAGCGAAUGGG
rnacentral:rRNA from 1 species